AUUCUUUUAGUACAAACAGUACACCUGACUUCCAAUCAGGAGAUUUUAGACCGACCUAAAAAAGAAUA
rnacentral:tRNA from 1 species